rfam:Gossypium hirsutum cultivar TM-1 chromosome 17, whole genome shotgun sequence
UGUUAAAAAUUUCAUCUAUUUAUACGGUUAAAAACCGACGUGGAUGAUAGAUAACCAACAAUGAUGUGUGGCAUGCUAUAUGUACCUCAUGUUGAUGCAUAUGGAUCCAUUUUUAACUAUUGAAAUGGAUAGAAUUUUUAACA